GACGAACGCUGGCGGCGUGCCUAAUACAUGCAAGUCGAGCGGACUUUCAAGAAGCUUGCUUUUUGAAAGUUAGCGGCGGACGGGUGAGUAACACGUGGGCAACCUGCCUGCAAGACGGGGAUAACUCCGGGAAACCGGGGCUAAUACCGGAUAAUAUCUUCCUUCGCAUGAAGGAAGGUUGAAAGGCGGCGCAAGCUGCCGCUUGCAGAUGGGCCCGCGGCGCAUUAGCUAGUUGGUGAGGUAACGGCUCACCAAGGCGACGAUGCGUAGCCGACCUGAGAGGGUGAACGGCCACACUGGGACUGAGACACGGCCCAGACUCCUACGGGAGGCAGCAGUAGGGAAUCUUCCGCAAUGGACGAAAGUCUGACGGAGCAACGCCGCGUGAGAGAAGAAGGUCUUCGGAUCGUAAAGCUCUGUUGUCAGGGAAGAACAAGUACCGUUCGAACAGGGCGGUACCUUGACGGUACCUGACCAGAAAGCCACGGCUAACUACGUG
rnacentral:rRNA from 1 species